GUCUUUUUGAUUAUAAUUUAAGGUUUGAUCUGCUCAAUGAUUAGUUAAAUUGCCGCAGUAUUUUGACUGUGCAAAGGUAGCAUAAUAAUUAGCUUUUUUAUUGGAAGCUGGAAUGAAUGAUUGGACAAGAAAAUUUCUGUCUCUUUAUUAUUUUUAUUGAAUUUUACUUUUAAGUUAAAAGGCUUAAAUUUGUUUAAAAGACGAGAAGACCCUAUAGAGUUUAAUUUUUAAUUAUUUGGAAUUUUUUUUGGAAUUUUAAAAAUUUUAUUUUUUUAAUAAUUUGGUUGGGGUGACUGAAAGAUAAGAUAAACUCUUUUAAUUAUAAUCAAUUAUAUUUGAAUUUAAAAUCUAUUUUUAUAAGUUUAAAGUAAAUUACCUUAGGGAUAACAGCGUAAUUUUUUUUUAGAGUUCAUAUUAAAAGAAAAGUUUGCGACCUCGAUGUUGGAUUAAAAUUUAUUUUAGGUGUAGAAGCUUGAAUAUUAAGUCUGUUCGACUUUUAAAAUUUU
rnacentral:rRNA from 1 species